GACGAACGCUGGCGGCGUGCUUAACACAUGCAAGUCGAACGGAAAGGCCCUGCUUUUGUGGGGUGCUCGAGUGGCGAACGGGUGAGUAACACGUGAGUAACCUGCCCUUGACUUUGGGAUAACUUCAGGAAACUGGGGCUAAUACCGGCUAGGAGCUCCUGCUGCAUGGUGGGGGUUGGAAAGUUUCGGCGGUUGGGGAUGGACUCGCGGCUUAUCAGCUUGUUGGUGGGGUAGUGGCUUACCAAGGCUUUGACGGGUAGCCGGCCUGAGAGGGUGACCGGCCACAUUGGGACUGAGAUACGGCCCAGACUCCUACGGGAGGCAGCAGUGGGGAAUAUUGCACAAUGGGCGGAAGCCUGAUGCAGCAACGCCGCGUGCGGGAUGACGGCCUUCGGGUUGUAAACCGCUUUCGCCUGUGACGAAGCGUGAGUGACGGUAAUGUGUAAAGAAGCACCGGCUAACUACGUG
rnacentral:rRNA from 1 species